rnacentral:rRNA from 1 species
CCUACGGGAGGCAGCAGUGGGGAAUUUUGGACAAUGGGCGAAAGCCUGAUCCAGCCAUUCCGCGUGCAGGAUGAAGGCCCUCGGGUUGUAAACUGCUUUUGUACAGAACGAAAAGGUUUCUAUUAAUACUAGGAGCUCAUGACGGUACUGUAAGAAUAAGCACCGGCUAACUACGUGCCAGCAGCCGCGGUAAUACGUAGGGUGCAAGCGUUAAUCGGAAUUACUGGGCGUAAAGCGUGCGCAGGCGGUUAUAUAAGUCAGAUGUGAAAUCCCCGGGCUCAACCUGGGAACUGCAUUUGAGACUGUAUAGCUAGAGUACGGUAGAGGGGGAUGGAAUUCCGCGUGUAGCAGUGAAAUGCGUAGAUAUGCGGAGGAACACCGAUGGCGAAGGCAAUCCCCUGGACCUGUACUGACGCUCAUGCACGAAAGCGUGGGGGAGCAAACAGGAUUAGAUACCCUGGUAGUCCACGCCCUAAACGAUGUCAACUGGUUGUUGGGUCUUAACUGACUCAGUAACGAAGCUAACGCGUGAAGUUGACCGCCUGGGGAGUAACGGCCGCAAGGUUGAAACUUCAAAGGAAUUGACGG